AUUGAACGCUGGCGGCAGGCCUAACACAUGCAAGUCGAACGAGUGGCGGACGGGUGAGUAAUGUCUGGGAAACUGCCUGAUGGAGGGGGAUAACUACUGGAAACGGUAGCUCAUACCGCAUACCAUCAGAUGUGCCCAGCUGGGAUUAGCUUGUUGGUGGGGUAACGGCUCACCAAGACGACGAUCCCUCGCUGGUCUGAGAGGAUGACCGGCGACACUGGAACUUGGACACGGUCCAGAGUCCUUCGAGAGGCAGCAGUGGGGAAUAUUGCACAAUGGGCGCAAGCCUGAUGCAGCCAUGCCGCGUGUAGGAAGAAGGCCUUCGGGUUGUAAAGUACUUUCAGCGGUGAGGCGUUACCCGCAGAAGAAGCACCGGCUAACUCCGUGCCAGCAGCCGCGGUAAUUC
rnacentral:rRNA from 1 species